AUCAUCGUUCACGGAUAUGCUAUGAAUAUAGAAAAAGUAGCUGAAAGUUUUACUACAUCAUUGAGACAAAGAAGAGCUACUCGAAUUCGACAUUUCGCAAUUACAAAUAAAUUAAUUAUCACAAAGUUGUCUUAAGGUGUUUUUCAUCAAUAAAAAUACGGUACAU